rnacentral:rRNA from 1 species
GACAGAGGUGCCAAGCGUUAGGCGGAAUCACUGGGCUUAAAGCGUGUGUAGGUGGAUUUGUAAGUACCUUGUGAAAUCCCAUGGCUCAACCAUGGAACUGCUCUGUAUACUGCGAAUCUUGAGCCACUUAGGGGCUACCGGAACAAAUGGUGGAGCGGUGAAAUGCGUAGAUAUCAUUUGGAACGCCAAUGGUGAAAACAGGUAGCUGGGAGUGUGCUGACACUGAGACACGAAAGCCAGGGGAGCGAACGGG